ACGCCGCGUGAGUGAUGAAGGAAUUCGUUUCGUAAAACUCUGUUCUAUGGGAAGAAAAGGACUGUACCAUAGGAGAAAGCUCCGGCUAAAUACGUGCCAGCAGCCGCGGUAA
rnacentral:rRNA from 1 species